UCCUCGGUAGCUCAGUUGGUAGAGCGCUUGACUCUUAAUCAAGAUGUCGUAGGUUCGAUUCCUGCCCGAGGAG
rnacentral:tRNA from 1 species